rnacentral:rRNA from 1 species
GACGAACGCUGGCGGCGUGCUUAACACAUGCAAGUCGAACGGAAAGGCCCUGCUUUUGUGGGGUGCUCGAGUGGCGAACGGGUGAGUAACACGUGAGUAACCUGCCCUUGACUUUGGGAUAACUUCAGGAAACUGGGCUUAUUCCCGAUAAGAGCUUCCUCUUCCUGGUUGGGGUCGGGAAGUUUCGGCGGUUGGGGAUGGACUCGCGGCUUAUCAGCUUGUUGGUGGGGUAGUGGCUUACCAAGGCUUUGACGGGUAGCCGGCCUGAGAGGGUGACCGGCCACAUUGGGACUGAGAUACGGCCCAGACUCCUACGGGAGGCAGCAGUGGGGAAUAUUGCACAAUGGGCGGAAGCCUGAUGCAGCAACGCCGCGUGCGGGAUGACGGCCUUCGGGUUGUAAACCGCUUUCGCCUGUGACGAAGCGUGAGUGACGGUAAUGGGUAAAGAAGCACCGGCUAACUACGUG